ACACAGGUAGGAUAGAUUGUCACACAAUUCAAACAAAACUAACUUUGUAUGAGAUACAAGGUUUGGCAGGUUAAAAAGGAAUUAUUUUGUUAACAAAUUUUAAAAAAUGUGUGGUAGUCCUCACAUUGUAUACUACCAAUAACGUAUUUAAGUAUAACGUUGUCAGCCGACAUAAUUUACUCCUGAUGGUUACCACUCUAACCCAAGCAAAUUGCUUGGGCGAGUUGGAUAACAUUAAUUUUUGGAGGGAGAUGAUAAAUGCGUCUCCUCAUGAACGUUCUUGAAACUUGUCACUGUUAAGCUACGUAGGUUGCGUAUCCCUCCGACAUUGCUAUUUCUGCUACUUCCGCGAUUUCUGUGACUUCUGCGACUUACCACCGUAUGAAAAAGUUAAAUCUGCCCACAGAAAAUUGCAUCUCAACAAAUCUGUCAUUGGUGCCCGAACUACAUUUCAGUCAAUCGGUAAAUUGAUAACUCAAAAUAUCAUUGUCAACAGAUCUGGAGAAAUUGCCACUGCGUCUUCAGACCGUUUUCGUCAGACGAGUGACACAGUUCUGACUCUUGAUUACUGGUUGCUGUACGUAUCUAUCCACAUCGAGGCUGUUUAGAGAGACUUGUGAAGAUUCAAGACAGCUCUAAGAGGAUUUGCAGUUUAAAAGUGACAAUUGUGAAAUAAGUGUGCAGAUGAGUGAUUAAACUGUGUUUUAUUGAAGUUGUUGUGCGAUUUUAAAGGAAUAAUAAAUGUUAA